UUUUUCAUUUAAGGAAGGAGAAUCAAAUGCUGUCACAGACUUAAGAAUGGUAUACAAGUGAAUGGCCCAAAGUUCCGGAACAAGCGCCACUGCUGGAUCUGCUCAAAUAUGAAGGGGGCACCGGCUAAAGCAAAUGGCCAUUCUGAUAUACCCAUACCAACUUUUUAAGUACCUUGUAGCUCCAGCGCUGUACCGCCAUCAAACAGAAAUGACAUAAACUGAUCUGUACAAUCCUUUCAUUUUUCUAACCGCUGCAACAAGCAUGUCAUUCAUUUAUAAGGAAACUGCUUUAGUUAUUUUCUUUGUAUUCUUUUAUCAAUUUAUAUAUUUGAGAAAGUUACAAAGUAGUCCGCAAAUUUGCUUAAUCAGAAAAGUGUAUAAAAUGUCUAAACAUUAGGAGAGAAGACAGACUAUAAAGCAUGAAGGACGCUAUCUCAGAUGAGGAUUCAAUAGAGUCUUUGUUUUAGUAACUGUAAUUGAAAUUAAUUGUAAAGUUCUAGGGAUAUGGAGCUUGGACCAAUGCUAACGAGUGUGUAAAUUGGACACAUGGAUGGAUGAAUGAGUGGAUUUUUAUGGAUUUUUGUGAGGGUGCAUUUCCAUACUGCAUACAAAACAUACACAAAAAUGUAUAUAUAAGACUUUGCUUGUAGAAAUGUUUAAACGUCUGCAGUUUUAAUAAAAAAUGUAUGCAAAUAA